rnacentral:tRNA from 1 species
GCGGGCGUGGCGGAAUUGGCAAACGCGGCGGACCCAAACUUCGCCGGAUUUUACUUCCUUGUUGGUUCGAAUCCAAUCGCCCGUACCA